rnacentral:rRNA from 1 species
AGAGUUUGAUCCUGGCUCAGGACGAACGCUGGCGGCGUGCCUAACACAUGCAAGUCGAGCGAUGAAAUCCUUCGGGAUGGAUUAGCGGCGGACGGGUGAGUAACACGUGGGUAACCUGCCUCAAAGAGGGGAAUAGCCUUCCGAAAGGAAGAUUAAUACCGCAUAAUAUGUUUUGGUCGCAUGACUAGAACAUCAAAGGAGUAAUCCGCUUUGAGAUGGACCCGCGGCGCAUUAGCUAGUUGGUGAGGUAACGGCUCACCAAGGCGACGAUGCGUAGCCGACCUGAGAGGGUGAUCGGCCACAUUGGAACUGAGACACGGUCCAGACUCCUACGGGAGGCAGCAGUGGGGAAUAUUGCGCAAUGGGGGAAACCCUGACGCAGCAACGCCGCGUGAAUGAUGAAGGCCUUCGGGUUGUAAAGUUCUGUCUUCUGGACGAUAAUGACGUACCAGAGAGA